rnacentral:tRNA from 1 species
GGGCCUUUAGCUCAAUUGGAUAGAGUACCUGGCUUCGAACCAGGGGGUUACAGGUUCGAGUCCUGUAAGGCCUA